GUCAUAUUCUCAAAGAGGUCUGUGACUAGGAAUUACUGUUCUAGAUGCAUUUCCCAGCCUAUCAAUACUGCUACCUUUUGUCUAAAUUGAACUGUAGAUGGGUCACUGUCAAUCAAAUCCCAAGUUCUAACAGACCCUGAGGAGUCUCUACGGCUUUCUGUCCAACUGCCUGACGGUACGAGCAAGUCCAAGGAGCUGACUAUAGAUCCAACAAAAUCAAUUAGUGCAUAUCAAAACAAAAGUAUUCAAUCCUUAGAGGAACUCCCAUUUAUAAUUGAUAAAAAUAAUAAAUAGGGGCACCCAUGAAAUUAAGAUACUUCACCUAUUAUUCAACAAAGGACAUUUAGAGUUUUAAGAAUAAAUUCAACAGUAACAAAAGUGGUCCAUUUUCACAAUGCCCACAUGUAAACUGUGCCAGACACAUGUCCCGUGCCUGUGUGGUACUUCUACACCAUUAGCUGCCACAAAUCAAAGAGAAUGUCAUUGCUUUUAAUAGGAUUACAUAGAACCCAGUAACAAGCAGGAAGACUAGCUUUAGACUGAGUAACUGGCCAGUAAUUUGGAUGUUUAACCAACUGAUUGGCUGCCAAAUUGACAGGUCAUCCACACUGAACUAGCCACUAUUCCAUGAAUUUUCAUGACUAAGAUCACAAUGGUUCAUUUGCAUGUGUGAAAUUCCGCUGUGAAGCUGGCUUUUGAACUGGCUAGCUCAGCCAAAGACGUGUUUCACAGCACCAUGCAUUAGUGCCCCAGAAAUACCAUCGCAUGAGGGGAGCAUAGAUCCUCCCAGCCCCUUGUAUGUAAACAUAAUCUAUAACGAGGAGGGCCAAUCAACACGGAUGGUAACAACCAGAAGUGGGAUCCAGAUCAGAGAAGAAAACUGAUGAUUCAGGGGAACGAAGUCCUCAAUAAGGCAGCACAAGAGAAGAAAUGGAUACAAGAAAACCAAUUUCUUUCAGGUUGGUACUUCAGGCAGAUAAUGGAACUUCAGAGAACAACUUGAUCCUGUGCUUCAGGAGAAACAGAGGUUGAGAGAUAGAAGCAGGGAAGCUCAGAGACCUUGAGGCUCCUUCAGUCCAGCACGUCAAAGUGCCACAUUUUGGGGUAUUGACAUUAUCGAACUGGGUGAAGAUCAAGGAAAAGGAUGAUUUAUUUAGCUGGUGAAUUUGUGUUUCUGACCAAACAAAAAAACUUCCAUAAAUAUAAUACAUUAAAUGAGCUAAAACAUAAGACACGGCAGGCAACAUGUCAAAGGAUGAUUACAUUAAGACUGUGGAGGUGACGCAGGUGCGAGUGAUGAAAAGGUCUUGGAUGAAUCAUGGAUGAAGCCAAGUGAGAAAAUAAUCAUUAGGAACAAGAGAGUCUAGGAACCAUGAGGCCAAGGUAUAGAAUGGGUCAUCCAUGUGGUUGUUUGAAGUCUCAGCAAAUUGUUAUAGAAAUGGGAGAGGAGAAGAAAGAUAACGGGGCAGGGGUGGUAAUAAAUUGCAUGACCCUCAAAACAUGACCUUCAGCAAGGAAAGCAACAGUCUAAAAGUGGCAAUAGAGAGCAAGGAAGCAUAUCUUCUAGCUCCUGCUCCUGAGCGAGGUGAAGCUGGGAGAAAAAAAAAAAAAACACCACCUUCACUUAAGAGAGGAACUGGGAAAGUAUCCUCAAGGAAGAUGUGUUUCAGUUGAGGAAUGGAGACAAAGAACAUAUUCAGAGGAGAGACAGCCACAGCAGGAGGCAUCACUAUCCCCAAGUAGGAGCUCCAGACACUCCAAGAACCGGUCUAGGGAGGACGUCAGCUACCUCUGGGAGGAGCAGGCUGAAUAGAAAUGAGAAUCUGGGGCCAAUGGUAGAUCGAGGUAGCUCGGACCUUGGCAAAAUCAGGGAUGGAGGCCAAUGGAAUUAAUUCUGACUGUCUCUUGAGAGGAAGAAAAGAAGGAUUCGACUGCAGUCCACAUUCUUAGCAGGACUAUUUCUCACCCUUGCCUUUCUCCUCAAACCCGCACUUUCUCCUCAUUCUCAGUGGCUGCCUCUUCAUACUUUACUAAGAAAACAAAUACUUUCUCUUCAGCCAUUUGUAUCUCUAAUCCCAUAUAACACUUUCCCCUCUUCCCAGCUUCUAAUAAAGUUGCUUUGACACAAUAAAAGAUACCCUUCUUUUUCUCAAAGAAGAGUUAAUUCUUGGAGUUAAACACUGAACAAAAUACAAAGAUUAAAAUGGGGAGAUUUUUCAGAAAAUCAGACAAAAUUAAGAGUGCUUGUUUGUCAAGAAAGCAUGUGUGUAUUUAGUCCCAGCAUUUACCUGUGCAUGUGCCCCAUCAAAGACACCUUGAAAUACGUCUACAAUAUGUUAUUCAGGACAAA